GACGAACGCUGGCGGCGUGCCUAAUACAUGCCAGUAGAACGCACAGUUUAUACCGUAGCUUGCUACACCAUGGACUGUGAGUUGCGAACGGGUGAGUAACGCGUAGGUAACCUGCCUGGUAGCGGGGGAUAACUAUUGGAAACGAUAGCUAAUACCGCAUAAUAUUGAUUAUUGCAUGAUAAUUGAUUGAAAGAUGCUAUUGCAUCACUACCAGAUGGACCUGCGUUGUAUUAGCUAGUAGGUGAGGUAACGGCUCACCUAGGCGACGAUACAUAGCCGACCUGAGAGGGUGAUCGGCCACACUGGGACUGAGACACGGCCCAGACUCCUACGGGAGGCAGCAGUAGGGAAUCUUCGGCAAUGGACGAAAGUCUGACCGAGCAACGCCGCGUGAGUGAAGAAGGUUUUCGGAUCGUAAAGCUCUGUUGUAAGAGAAGAACGGGUGUGAGAGUGGAAAGUUCACACUGUGACGGUAUCUUACCAGAAAGGGACGGCUAACUACGUG
rnacentral:rRNA from 1 species